GAUGAACGCUGACAGAAUGCUUAACACAUGCAAGUCAACCUGAACUUCGGUUUGGGUGGCGGACGGGUGAGUCACGCGUAAAGAACUUGCCUCACAGUUAGGGCCAACAUUUGGAAACGAAUGCUAAUACCUGAUAUUAUGAUUUUAGGGCAUCCUAGAAUUAUGAAAGCUAUCUGCGCUGUGGGAGAGCUUUGCGUCCCAUUAGCUAGUUGGAGAGGUAACGGCUCACCAAGGCGAUGAUGGGUAGCCGGCCUGGGAGGGUGAACGGCCACAAGGGGACUGAGACACGGCCCGUACUCCUACGGGAGGCAGCAGUGGGGAAUAUUGGACAAUGGACCAAGAGUCUGAUCAAGCAAUUCUGUGUGCACGAUGAAGUUUUUCGGAAUGUAAAGUGCUUUCAGUUGAGAAGAAGAAAAUGACGGUACCAACAGAAGAAGUGACGGCUAAAUACGUG
rnacentral:rRNA from 1 species